rnacentral:rRNA from 1 species
GACGAACUCUGGUAUUGAUUGGUGCUUGCAUCAUGAUUUACAUUUGAGUGAGUGGCGAACUGGUGAGUAACACGUGGGAAACCUGCCCAGAAGCGGGGGAUAACACCUGGAAACAGAUGCUAAUACCGCAUAACAACUUGGACCGCAUGGUCCGAGUUUGAAAGAUGGCUUCGGCUAUCACUUUUGGAUGGUCCCGCGGCGUAUUAGCUAGAUGGUGGGGUAACGGCUCACCAUGGCAAUGAUACGUAGCCGACCUGAGAGGGUAAUCGGCCACAUUGGGACUGAGACACGGCCCAAACUCCUACGGGAGGCAGCAGUAGGGAAUCUUCCACAAUGGACGAAAGUCUGAUGGAGCAACGCCGCGUGAGUGAAGAAGGGUUUCGGCUCGUAAAACUCUGUUGUUAAAGAAGAACAUAUCUGAGAGUAACUGUUCAGGUAUUGACGGUAUUUAACCAGAAAGCCACGGCUAACUACGUGCCAGCAGCCGCGGUAAUACGUAGGUGGCAAGCGUUGUCCGGAUUUAUUGGGCGUAAAGCGAGCGCAGGCGGUUUUUUAAGUCUGAUGUGAAAGCCUUCGGCUCAACCGAAGAAGUGCAUCGGAAACUGGGAAACUUGAGUGCAGAAGAGGACAGUGGAACUCC